rnacentral:sRNA from 18 species
AUGUACCACGAGUGCGCUGCGCUCCCUGCGCGCCGCCCGCACCCGCUUGAUGUCUGCUCGCUACGUUUGUCAGCC